GGAGUGAAGAGUUUGAUCAUGGCUCCAGGUUGAACGCUGGCGGCAGGUCCCACUUUAUGCAAGUCGAACUGGUAGCACAGAGAGCUUGCUCUCAGACGAGUGGGACGGGUGAGUAAUGUCUGGGGAAACUGCCUGAUGGAGGGAUAACUACUGGAAACGCAGAAGCUAAUACCGCAUAACGUCGCAAGACCAAAGAGGGGGACCUUUCAAGGGCCUCUUUUGCCAUCAGAUGUGCCCCAGAUGGGAUUAGCUAGUAGGGUGGGGUAACGGCUCACCACUAGGCGACGAUCCUAAGCUGGUCUGGAGAGGAUGACCAGCCACACUGGAACUGAGACACGGUCCAGACUCCUACGGAGGCAGCAGUGGGGAAUAUUGCACAAUGGGCGCAAGCCUGAUGCAGCCAUGCCGCGUGUAUGAAGAAGGCCUUCGGGUUGUAAAAGAAUUACUUUCAGCGGGAGGAAGGUGUUGUGGUUAAUAACCGCAGCAAUUGACGUUACCCGCAGAAGAAACACCAGCUAACUCCGUGCCAGCAGCCGCGGUAAUACGGAGGGUGCAAGCGUUAAUCGGAAUUACUGGGCGUAAGCGCACGCAGGCGGUCUGUCAGGCCGGUUGAAAUCCCAGGCUCAACCUCGAACUGCAUUCGAAACUGGCAGGCUGGAGUCUUGUAGAGGUAGAAUUCAGUGUGUAGCGGUGAAAUGCGUAGAGAUCUGGAGGAAUACCGGUGGCGAAGGCGGCCUCUGACAAAGACUGACGCUCAGGUGCGAAAGCGUGGGAGCAACAGGGAUUAGAUACCACGUAGUCCACGCCGUAAACGAUGUCGGUUUGAGGUUGUGCCCUUGAGGCGUGGCUUUCCGGAGCUAGCCGCGCGUUAAAUCGACCACCUGGGGAGUACGGCCGCAAGGGUUAAAAUCAAAUGAAUUGACAGGGGCUUUUACAAGCAGUGGAGCAUGUGGUUUAAUUCGAUGCAACGCGAAGAACCUUUACCCGGUCUUGGCAUCCACAGAACUUUCCAGAGAUGGAUUGCGCCUUCGGGAACUGUGAGACAGGUGCUGCAUGGCUGUCGUGCCGUGUUGUGAAAUGUUGCUUAGUCCCGCAACGAGCGCAACCCUUAUCCUUUGUUGCCAGCGGUUAGGCCGGGAACUCAAAGGAGACUGCCAGUGAUAAACUGGAGGAAGGUGGGAUGACGUCAAGUCAUCAUGGCCCCUUACGACCGAGGGCUACACACGUGCUACAAUGGCGCAUACAAAGAGAAGCGACCUCGCGAGCAAGCGGACCUCAUAAAGUGCGUCGCAGUCCGGAUUGAGUCUGCAACUCGACUCCAUGAAGUCGGAAUCGCUAGUAAUCGUAGAUCAAAAUGCUACGGUGAAUACGUUCCCGGGCCUUGUACACACGCCCGUCACACCAUGGGAGUAUUGCAAAAGAAGUAGGUAGCUUAACCUUCGGGAGGGCGCUUACCACUUUGUGAUUCCAUGACUGGGGUGAAGUCAUAACAAAGCGUAACCAUAGGGGAAACCUGCGGUUGAUCACCUCCACC
rnacentral:rRNA from 1 species